AAUAGAUUUAAGUUUAUUUACCAAUAUUGAGUCAGCUACUGGUGGCCAGACAUGGGACUCAACUUCAGACACAUGAGGCCAAAUGCUGAAGUACUUACUUGAGGCCUCAUAUACUCUUCUCUGCUUCUGAGAGCAAAGGGGAGCAUGCACCCAUGGGUCUGAUGGGGGGGGGGGAGCUACCUCCAUACCAUGGUUCUACCUCCCCCAAAGCUCCAGGAGCUCCUUCAUGAGAUCUCUGCAAGGAUCCAGAUAUGCGGUUUGGAAAUAAGAGGGGCGGCCAUUGCUUGGACUAUAUUCCAGACCUCUGGGGCAAAGCAGGCCAACUUCUGAUCUCAGUUCCUCUUCCACUCGGUAGACCUCUUACCCUUUGGAGGUAGCACCUACCUUAACUUUGCUCCUUCAAACUUUACAGGAGAAAUGGUUACGUAGCUUGUUUUAAAAAUAUUAUUACUUAAAUCCAUUAGAGAUGGACCAAAACCAGGCAUUUAUCUAAAACAUAUACCUCCCACCUCCAAAUUUUAGGAAGUUAGGAGAAAUGGAAAUCAGAUCCCAACUAAACCCAGGUUUGGUUUUGCAAAACCCAGCCAAUGAGCUUGUGCAAACCCAGAGCCCCCACUCCUCAUCGCAUAGAAUUCUUUAUUAGAUUAUUUAACUCAAUAAAGGGCUGGGGGAGAUAUUUUGUGUGUAAGUUAUGUGUUGUGCUGCUCGUACUAGUACAUGCUGCUCCACUUUACCCCUUUUCAAAUAGCAGUCAAGCCAGAAGGGAAGGAAUUCCCUAUAUUCAUAUCCCUCCAGCCCCAUCUUCCUCAAAACAAGACCUCCUGCAGUGUGUAAGCUAAACCAAGGUUCUUCUUCGAGUGCUUGUUCAUGUCAAUUCCAAUCAGGUGUGUGUGCGCAUGCACAGCAGCCGGAAGAUUUUUCCCCUGGGCGCCCCCUGGAGUUGCGCCUUCAUAGUGCUCAAUAUAGAGCUCUGCUGACCCUCCACCCACUCAGUUCUUUCUUACUAGCUGUGAUGGUUAGCUGGAACGUCCUGUAGCUCUUGCCUUGGCAAGCGCCAUUAGCAGUGUCCGUUGUACAUAGUUCUCAUGAGUUAGUACGUGGCAAGCUGAUCAGCACAGGUGAUGAGCCAGGAACUGUUUAUCUCCCUGGAGACAUUACCCUCCCAACCCGGGCUCCCAGACCUUGAAGGCGGAGAAGGCCCCUCUGCUGCAAAUGUUUCAACGCUACCCCUAUCAUCUCCGUCCCAGAGGUUAGCGCAGAUAAGAA